UGAGUGCCUUGUCUUCUACAAAGC
rnacentral:siRNA from 1 species